AUUGAACGCUGGCGGCAGGCCUAACACAUGCAAGUCGAGCGGCAGCGGAAAGUAGCUUGCUACUUUGCCGGCGAGCGGCGGACGGAUGAGUAAUGUCUGGGAAACUGCCUGAUGGAGGGGGACAACUACUGGAAACGGUAGCUAAUACCGCAUCACGUCGCAAGACCAAAGAGGGGGACCUUCUGGCCUAUUGCCAUCAGAUGUGCCCAGAUGGGAGUAGCUAGUAGGUGGGGUAACGGCUCACCUAAGCGACGAUCCCUAGCUGGUCUGAGAGGAUGACCAGCCACACUGGAACUGAGACACGGUCCAGACUCCUACGGGAGGCAGCAGUGGGGAAUAUUGCACAAUGGGCGCAAGCCUGAUGCAGCCAUGCCGCGUGUAUGAAGAAGGCCUUCGGGUUGUAAAGUACUUUCAGCGGGGAGGAAGGCGCUGAGGUUAAUAACCUCAGCGAUUGACGUUACCCGCAGAAGAAGCACCGGCUAACUCCGUGCCAGCCGCCGCCGUAAUAC
rnacentral:rRNA from 1 species